UGUUGCAGAGAGAGAGAGAGGUAAUAUAGUAAUAGUGUUGCAGAGAGAGAGAGGUAAUAUAGUAAUAGUGUUGCAGAGAGAGAGAGAGGUAAUAUUGUAAUAGUGUUGCAGAGAGAGAGAGAGAGAGGUAAUAUAGUAAUAGUGUUGCAGAGAGAGAGAGAAAGAGGUAAUAUAGUAAUAGUGUUGCAGAGAGAGAGAGGUAAUAUAGUAAUAGUGUUGCAGAGAGAGACAGGUAAUAUAGUAAUAGUGUUGCAGAGAGAGAGAGGUAAUAUAGUAAUAGUGUUGCAGAGAGAGAGAGAGAGAGGUAAUAUAGUAAUAGUGUUGCAGAGAGAGAGAGGUAAUAUAGUAAUAGUGUUGCAGAGAGAGAGAGAGAGAGAGAGAGGUAAUAUAGUAAUAGUGUUGCAGAGAGAGAGGUUAUAUAGUAAUAGUGUUGCAGAGAGAGAGAGAGGUAAUAUAGAAAUAGUGUUGCAGAGAGAGAGAGGUAAUAUAGUAAUAGUGUUGCAGAGAGAGAGAGAGAGAGAGAGAGGUAAUAUAGUAAUAGUGUUGAGAGAGAGAGAGAGAGAGAGGUAAUAUAGUAAUAGUGUUGCAGAGAGAGAGAGAGAGAGAGGUAAUAUAGUAAUA
rnacentral:lncRNA from 1 species